rnacentral:rRNA from 1 species
UACGAAGGGGGCUAGCGUUGCUCGGAAUCACUGGGCGUAAAGCGCACGUAGGCGGCUUCUUAAGUCAGGGGUGAAAUCCUGGAGCUCAACUCCAGAACUGCCUUUGAUACUGGCGAUCUCGAGUCCGGGAGAGGUGAGUGGAACUGCGAGUGUAGAGGUGAAAUUCGUAGAUAUUCGCAAGAACACCAGUGGCGAAGGCGGCUCACUGGCCCGGUACUGACGCUGAGGUGCGAAAGCGUGGGGAGCAACAGG